rnacentral:rRNA from 1 species
AAAGGAAUAGACGGGCACCCGCACAAGCGGUGGAGCAUGCUGUUUAAUUCGACGAUACGCGAUAAACCUUACCAGGGUUUGACAUCCCUUUGCCAGUCUUAGAAAUAAGAUCUUCCCUUCGGGGACAAAGGUGACAGGUGGUGCAUGGUUGUCGUCAGCUCGUGUCGUGAGAUGUUUGGUUAAGUCCAAUAACGAGCGCAACCCUUUUCCUUAGUUGCUAACAUUUAGUUGAGUACUUUAAGGAUACUGCCGGUGAUAAAUCGGAGGAAGGUGGGGAUGACGUCAAAUCAUCAUGCCCCUUACGUCCUGGGCUACAGGCGUGCUACAAUGGCCGGUAUAACGAGAGGCAAUAUCGUGAGAUGGAGCAAAUCUUUAAAGCUGGUCUCAGUUCGGAUUGAAGUCUGCAAUUCGACUUCAUGAAGAUGGAAUCGCUAGUAAUCCCGAAUCAGAAUGUCGGGGUGAAUACGUUCUCGGGUGUUGCACACACCGCCCGU